ACACUCUCAACUCUCAUGGUUUGCCGUGAUGAGCUUGGACCUUUGGAGGUUUUGCUGGCCUGCAGUCAGCUCCUCUCAAACAGAUCAGCUUGCCAGUGUUUGGUGGCGUCACAGGUGUGAUAACUAUCUACGCUUGUCGUCGUCUGCCAAGUAACCUUUGGUGACAGAGGUUUGCUGGAGCUUAUAAACGUCUCCCCUCAGCGAAGACAGCUUUUGAACGU
rnacentral:misc_RNA from 1 species